rnacentral:rRNA from 1 species
CGUGUAGGCGGAUUGACAAGUCAGAUGUGAAAUCCAUGGGCUUAACCCAUGAACUGCAUUUGAAACUAUCGGUCUUGAGUAUCGGAGAGGCAAGCGGAAUUCCUAGUGUAGCGGUGAAAUGCGUAGAUAUUAGGAGGAACACCAGUGGCGAAGGCGGCUUGCUGGACGACAACUGACGCUGAGGCGCGAAAGCGUGGGGAGCAAACA